UAAUACGGAGGGUGCAAGCGUUAAUCGGAAUCACUGGGCGUAAAGCGCUCGUAGGCGGCAUGGUCAGUCAGACGUGAAAUCCCGUGGCUUAACCGCGGAACUGCGUUUGAUACUGCCAGGCUUGAGUGUCGGAGAGGGUGGCGGAAUUCCGGGUGUAGGAGUGAAAUCCGUAGAUAUCCGGAGGAACACCAGUGGCGAAGGCGGCCACCUGGACGACAACUGACGCUGAGGAGCGAAAGCGUGGGGAGCAAACAGG
rnacentral:rRNA from 1 species